UCCGCGAACCUAGUUGCUUGCGAUGCAAAAAAAAAAAAAAAAAAAAAAAAAAAAAAAAAAAAAAAAAAG
rnacentral:ribozyme from 13 species